CGGUUAUGGUAUUGCGCUGGUAUG
rnacentral:miRNA from 1 species